rnacentral:ribozyme from 1 species
GGAAAAAACAAACAAACAAAAGAAAAAAGGGCACUCAUCUGUAAUAGAUUUAUGGCUUUGUGUGCCUCAUUUCACGCAUUCAAUUUUUUUUUUUGUCUCUCAUGUUUCGUCACUGUAAAGUAGCUCAAUGUUAGAUA